AGGACGAACGCUGGCGGCGUGCUUAACACAUGCAAGUCGAGCGGAAAGGCCCUUCGGGGUACUCGAGCGGCGAACGGGUGAGUAACACGUGAGCAACCUGCCCUUAGCUCCGGGAUAGGCUCCGGGAAACCGGAAUUAAUACCGGAUACGACCACAGCCGACAUCUGCUGUGGUGGAAAGGAUUCCGGCUAAGGAUGGGCUCGCGGCCUAUCAGCUAGUUGGUGGAGUAACGGCCCACCAAGGCGACGACGGGUA
rnacentral:rRNA from 1 species